rnacentral:rRNA from 1 species
AGUGAACGCUGGCGGCGUGCCUAAUACAUGCAAGUCGAACGGAGUGGCGCACGGGUGAGUAAUAUAUAGCUAAUCUGCCCCUUGCUGGAGGACAACAGUUAGAAAUGACUGCUAAUACCCCAUAGCAAGGGAUGAGACUAUAUCGUAUCAGCUAGUCGGUGGGGUAACGGCCUACCGAGGCUAUGACGCGUAACUGGUCUGAGAGGAUGAUAAGUCAAAUUGGACGUGAGACACGGGCCAAACUGAUAGGGGAAGGGGCAGUAGGGAAUAGUGCGCAAUGGGGGAGACCCUGACGCGGCAACGCGGCGUGGAGGAUGACACUUGUCGGAGAGGAAACUCCUGUUGUUAGGGAAGCGGUACCUAACGAAGAAGCACCGGCUAACUCCGUGCCAGCAGCCGCGGUAAUAC